rnacentral:lncRNA from 1 species
AUGGCUCCAAGAGCAUAAGAAUGAUAUCAAAAUGGGCAGAACGACAACAGCUCUAGCCGACAAAGCGUAUGCCAACAAUGUUAUAAUAGAAUGGGACAGAGCGAAGAUAGUGAGGCCGAUCACCAAACCCACCCAAGCCCUAACUCAGGAAACGCUGGAGAUCGUGACCAGGAAAACUAAAGAGAACCUAGUGAAUGAUAGACCUGUAAUAGACUUACCAGAAGCAUGGGCUUAUAUGCUAAAAAAAACGUUAAUUGACCAGAGAAUAACUAGAUUCUUGGAGGUGUAUUUGAUAACGCC